AACACUUUCAUGCGAACAACGUAUAUGUACGUCAUAUAUUGGUAGAUAUGAUAUGGCACAACGUACUAUAACGUUCAGCAAAACCCCGAUUUAUUGAGCACAACGUAAUGGUUCGGUGCCUGGCCAUACUAAUGUUUAAAAGUUUGGUUGCUGUGCCACAACAUAUCGAAUUCUAAAAAUUGUAGUGCUACGCCGCACCGAUUUAAUUUUGCCUUCUUUGAUGGCAUUUUUUAGCGCACAACGUCACUAUACGUCGUUUCGCCUAAGAAGUUUUAUUACUUCACUCGACUUGUGCGCCUCGCGGGGGUAGUGCGUGCGCCGAUUCUGUGUUCGCGUAGAAUAUUGACGUAAAAUAUAUGUAAAAUGAGCUAAAAAAGGAAUCUUCUUUGAAAAUCUUAGAACUUUCGUUAUCACGAGAAAUCACCCCACAGACCCUUUUGUUGACGAUGGAGAAUUUGGAUCGGAUGCUGAUUACGACUUGACGAUUGACGACGUCUAGGAACGUCAGCGCAAUAUAUUUAAAUACUAAUAUCAUCAGCUAUUUGCACAACGUCAUUAGACGCCGCUCGAAUUUAUAUGAAAAAAUGAUGUGCAAUAUCGCAUAGAGCUACAAUAUUGACUUGUUCGCGUGAAAGUGAUAAAAU
rnacentral:misc_RNA from 1 species